rnacentral:rRNA from 1 species
GACGUAGGGCGCGAGCGUUGUCCGGAUUUAUUGGGCGUAAAGAGCUCGUAGGCGGCUUGUCGCGUCGUUCGUGAAAACCUGCAGCUCAACUGCAGGCUUGCGGUCGAUACGGGCAGGCUAGAGUUCGGGAGAGGGAUGCGGAAUUCCAGGUGUAGCGGUGAAAUGCGUAGAUAUCUGGAGGAACACCGGUGGCGAAGGCGGCAUCCUGGACCGGCACUGACGCUGAGGAGCGAAAGCCAGGGGAG